UACCUUUUGUAUAAUGGGUCAGCGACUUAUAUUCUGUAGCAAGGUUAACCGAAUAGGGGAGCCGAAGGGAAACCGAGUCUUAACUGGGCGUUAAGUUGCAGGGUAUAGACCCGAAACCCGGUGAUCUAGCCAUGGGCAGGUUGAAGGUUGGGUAACACUAACUGGAGGACCGAACCGACUAAUGUUGAAAAAUUAGCGGAUGACUUGUGGCUGGGGGUGAAAGGCCAAUCAAACCGGGAGAUAGCUGGUUCUCCCCGAAAGCUAUUUAGGUAGCGCCUCGUGAAUUCAUCUCCGGGGGUAGAGCACUGUUUCGGCAAGGGGGUCAUCCCGACUUACCAACCCGAUGCAAACUGCGAAUACCGGAGAAUGUUAUCACGGGAGACACACGGCGGGUGCUAACGUCCGUCGUGAAGAGGGAAACAACCCAGACCGCCAGCUAAGGUCCCAAAGUCAUGGUUAAGUGGGAAACGAUGUGGGAAGGCCCAGACAGCCAGGAUGUUGGCUUAGAAGCAGCCAUCAUUUAAAGAAAGCGUAAUAGCUCACUGGUCGAGUCGGCCUGCGCGGAAGAUGUAACGGGGCUAAACCAUGCACCGAAGCUGCGGCAGCGACGCUGAUGCGUUGUUGGGUAGGGGAGCGUUCUGUAAGCCUGUGAAGGUGUGCUGUGAGGCAUGCUGGAGGUAUCAGAAGUGCGAAUGCUGACAUAAGUAACGAUAAAGCGGGUGAAAAGCCCGCUCGCCGGAAGACCAAGGGUUCCUGUCCAACGUUAAUCGGGGCAGGGUGAGUCGACCCCUAAGGCGAGGCCGAAAGGCGUAGUCGAUGGGAAACAGGUUAAUAUUCCUGUACUUGGUGUUACUGCGAAGGGGGGACGGAGAAGGCUAUGUUGGCCGGGCGACGGUUGUCCCGGUUUAAGCGUGUAGGCUGGUUUUCCAGGCAAAUCCGGAAAACUAAGGCUGAGGCGUGAUGACGAGGCACUACGGUGCUGAAGCAACAAAUGCCCUGCUUCCAGGAAAAGCCUCUAAGCAUCAGGUAACAUCAAAUCGUACCCCAAACCGACACAGGUGGUCAGGUAGAGAAUACCAAGGCGCUUGAGAGAACUCGGGUGAAGGAACUAGGCAAAAUGGUGCCGUAACUUCGGGAGAAGGCACGCUGAUAUGUAGGUGAAGUCCCUCGCGGAUGGAGCUGAAAUCAGUCGAAGAUACCAGCUGGCUGCAACUGUUUAUUAAAAACACAGCACUGUGCAAACACGAAAGUGGACGUAUACGGUGUGACGCCUGCCCGGUGCCGGAAGGUUAAUUGAUGGGGUCAGCGCAAGCGAAGCUCUUGAUCGAAGCCCCGGUAAACGGCGGCCGUAACUAUAACGGUCCUAAGGUAGCGAAAUUCCUUGUCGGGUAAGUUCCGACCUGCACGAAUGGCGUAAUGAUGGCCAGGCUGUCUCCACCCGAGACUCAGUGAAAUUGAACUCGCUGUGAAGAUGCAGUGUACCCGCGGCAAGACGGAAAGACCCCGUGAACCUUUACUAUAGCUUGACACUGAACAUUGAGCCUUGAUGUGUAGGAUAGGUGGGAGGCUUUGAAGUGUGGACGCCAGUCUGCAUGGAGCCGACCUUGAAAUACCACCCUUUAAUGUUUGAUGUUCUAACGUUGACCCGUAAUCCGGGUUGCGGACAGUGUCUGGUGGGUAGUUUGACUGGGGCGGUCUCCUCCUAAAGAGUAACGGAGGAGCACGAAGGUUGGCUAAUCCUGGUCGGACAUCAGGAGGUUAGUGCAAUGGCAUAAGCCAGCUUGACUGCGAGCGUGACGGCGCGAGCAGGUGCGAAAGCAGGUCAUAGUGAUCCGGUGGUUCUGAAUGGAAGGGCCAUCGCUCAACGGAUAAAAGGUACUCCGGGGAUAACAGGCUGAUACCGCCCAAGAGUUCAUAUCGACGGCGGUGUUUGGCACCUCGAUGUCGGCUCAUCACAUCCUGGGGCUGAAGUAGGUCCCAAGGGUAUGGCUGUUCGCCAUUUAAAGUGGUACGCGAGCUGGGUUUAGAACGUCGUGAGACAGUUCGGUCCCUAUCUGCCGUGGGCGCUGGAGAACUGAGGGGGGCUGCUCCUAGUACGAGAGGACCGGAGUGGACGCAUCACUGGUGUUCGGGUUGUCAUGCCAAUGGCACUGCCCGGUAGCUAAAUGCGGAAGAGAUAAGUGCUGAAAGCAUCUAAGCACGAAACUUGCCCCGAGAUGAGUUCUCCCUGACUCCUUGAGAGUCCUGAAGGAACGUUGAAG
rnacentral:rRNA from 1 species